ACAUAUCUUAGAGCCUAAUUCAUUUUAAUAAACAAUUAAAAUUACAUUCAAAUCCAAAUUUAAAAUUUUAAUGCUAAAAUUCAUCCUAAAAAUAAAUUUAUUGUAAUCCAUCUCUACUUAAACAAGCUGCACCUUGAUCUGAUUUUUAACAAAAUUGUAUAUCAAAAUUAUAUAUUUCCAAAAAUAAUUAACAACGACGAUAUACAAGCAAAAUUUAAGUUUUAUUAAUCGUGGAUUAUCGAUUACAGGACAGAUUCCCCUGAUUGGAAUAAAAAACCGCCAAAUUUUUUGAUUUUAAAGAACAUAACUAAUAUUCGUCUAGUAUUACAAUAUCUACAUCUAGAAUAAUGGGGUAUCUAAUCCCAGUUUAGUUGCUAGAUUUCUUAACCUCAUAAUCAAAAAUUAAAUUUACUAAAAAAUAGGAUUUCACCCAAUAUUUCCUAAAAUUAAAAUCUAUUUUUAUUAAUUAAAUAAUAAAACUGAAAAAAAACAGAAGCAUUACUUGUUUAACCGCA
rnacentral:rRNA from 1 species